rnacentral:rRNA from 1 species
UACGUAGGGUGCAAGCGUUGUCCGGAAUUAUUGGGCGUAAAGAGCUCGUAGGCGGUCUGUCGCGUCGGCUGUGAAAUCCCGAGGCUCAACCUCGGGUCUGCAGUCGAUACGGGCAAACUAGAGUAUUGCAGGGGAGACUGGAAUUCCUGGUGUAGCGGUGAAAUGCGCAGAUAUCAGGAGGAACACCGGUGGCGAAGGCGAGUCCCUGGACAAACCCUGACACUGAGGCACGAAAGCCAAGGGAGCAAACAGG